GAAAUGCGAUACGUAAUGUGAAUUGCAGAAUUCAGUGAAUCAUCGAAUCUUUGAACGCACAUUGCGCCCCCUGGUAUUCCGGGGGGCAUGCCUGUUCGAGCGUCAUUUCACCACUCAAGCCUCGCUUGGUAUUGGGCGACGCGGUCCGCCGCGCGCCUCAAAUCGACCGGCUGGGUCUUUCGUCCCCUCAGCGUUGUGGAAACUAUUCGCUAAAGGGUGCCGCGGGAGGCCACGCCGUAAAACAACCCCCUUUCUAAGGUUGACCUCGGAUCAGGUAGGGAUACCCGCUGAACUUAAGC
rnacentral:misc_RNA from 1 species